ensembl:lncRNA
GUUCACAUGUCCCUGCUCCCUGGCCCUGCUGCCAGCCGUGUGCCCACCCAGCUGUCCAGGCUGCCUGCUGGGGCCGUGCAUCCCCUGGAGAGAAGUCCUGGGGUCCACGUGCCAGCUGUCCCCGUCCCUCGGGGUCCCAGGAGCCGGCGUGACCCAAGGCCUGUGCUGCUCCUGCAGCUCAGUAAGUAGGUCAUCUUGCUGCACUCCAGCGCGCUUCUGUCGUGCCUGCGAGCCACAUACAGCUUGGAAACAAAUGAGAAUUAAAAGGAUGCUGAGUUGAACCCCUGUCUGCAAACGCAGUGGGUGGGAGCUGUGCCUCAGUUUCCCAGUGGUGAAACUGCCCUGGGCUCCACCACAGAAAUGGGGCAGCGCCAGGUGCUUCGGGAGCAUCCUCAGUCCUUAUUUUAAUGCCCAGCUAAUUAGUCUUGGCACGAUGAACCAGCCCUCCGUGCACGGAGCAGGGAAAACAUCAUCUUCCGGUACUUCCAAAAUGCUGGCAUCCCAUAAUGAGCUCAGCAGCCAUUCCUGAGCACCCCACUGCUCUCUGGAGUGCUGCAUGGCCCAAUCCUGCUGCCCAGUGCCACAAACAGCCGCAGCUCAGCCGUCCUUCCUGCAAACUGCCCUGGGGCCACCAGGAUCCUCUCCUUGGAACUGAGCAGCGAAUUAAGGAUGGCUGGAAUGAGGAGAAAGGCAGAUCCGAUCGGAGAUUGCCAGCUUUGCAGCUGGCUCCUACUUGCAAACAAUCCAUUUAGCUUAUGAAAGCAAGGAAUGGAGUACAAAACCCCCUAGAUUGUUUGCUUCCUAGAGAAAGAAAAGAAAAGAAAUGGAAUUUAGAUUAAAAAUUAUGCAGAAUAGCAUUAAUUCCCCACCCUCCCGUGCCUCCCCUCUAGCUGGAAAACCAGAGCUCAUCAGAAUUUGGCAUUGUUCUGCUGCCAGCGUGGAGCUGCCUCAAUGGAGGAGAUAACAUACAGGAGAGCCGAUGUCCCCGUGCGCCAGGAGCGGUUUGUGGCUCUAGGUGAUGCCCAGUGCCAUCACGUGGGAGUGUGACUCUUCCAGCCCCCAGAGGAGAACAACAAGGAAGAACUCAAAAUCAAUGGAUAACCAGAGCACGGCGUUCACGUGUUCCACUUUCACGUCCCCUCUCUGCCCUAACUCAGCUGAAUGAAGCAGCUCUGAAAGCAGGUGACCCCUGGCAUUGAAACACUGAACGCAUGGAUUUGAUUUGGGCUGGAAUGAUGUUUUGGGUUCUUAUUUAAUAUUUACGUUAUUCACCCCCCAGAAAUCAGUUCCUGCCCCAGCCCUAUGCACGUGAGCCUAUGCGGCACCAGGGCUGCGUCCCACCCCCUCCCAUAGCUCCGAGGGUCCCCGUGCUCACACAGAGCUCCCUGCCCAGCUCUGACCCUGCAGCACAGCUGUGCCAUUGCUCUGCUGCUUGCAGCAGCAUCUGCACUAUUUUAGGUCAUCCUUGCUGCCCAUUUCACACUGCGCUCCCAGCAGAGGUGGCC